rnacentral:other from 1 species
CUUUCCACACUACUAAGUUCUACGGAAAC